AGCUCCACGAGCAUGUACGUAAGUUGUUGCAGUUAAAAAGCUCGUAGUUGGAUCUCAGGCUUGUGGCCGGUGGUCCGCCCGGUACGGGUGUGUACUGCCGUGCCCGGUCUACGUCUGGUCUCACUUGCAUAGUGUCCUUAACCGGGUGCUAUGCAAUGCCAGAAAUUUUACUCUGAAAAAAUUAGAGUGCUCAAAGCAGGCCGUUGUGCUUGAAUACUGUUGCAUGGAAUAAUGGAAUAGGACCUCGGAUCUAUUUUGUUGGUUUUCGGAGUCGAGGUAAUGAUUAAGAGGGACAGACGGGGGCAUUCGUAUUGCGCCGUUAGAGGUGAAAUUCUUGGAUCGGCGCAAGACGAACAACUGCGAAAGCAUUUGCCAAGGAUGUUUUCAUUAAUCAAGAACG
rnacentral:rRNA from 1 species